rnacentral:rRNA from 1 species
GUGGAUUAGAUACCCUGGUAUUCCUAGCCCUAAACGAUCAGGACUUGGGGUGCCACCCGUUCGGGUGUCGUCCCGGAGCUAACGCGUUAAGUCCUGCACCUGGGGAGUACGGUCGCAAGACUGAAACUCAAAGGAAUUGACGGGGGCCCGUACAAGCGGUGGAACAUGUGGUUCAAUUCGACGCUACGCGAGGAACCUUACCUGGGCUCGAAAUGCUUCUGACAAGCUGUGGAAACACGGCCUUCCCGCAAGGGACAGGAGUAUAGGCGCUGCAUGGUUGUCGACAGCU